rnacentral:rRNA from 1 species
UGCGUAGGCGGGAUGAUAAGUCAGUGGUGAAAUCCUACAGCUUAACUGUAGAACUGCCAUUGAUACUGUCAUUCUUGAGUACAACUGAAGUGGGCGGAAUGUGUCAUGUAGCGGUGAAAUGCAUAGAUAUGACACAGAACACCGAUUGCGAAGGCAGCUCACUAAACUGUAACUGACGCUGAGGCACGAAAGCGUGGGGAGCGAACAGGAUUAGAUACCCUGGUAGUC